CUUUUCGAUCUGCACAAUUUUAUAUGGCUGUAAUUUUUCUUCAUAAUUUCAAUUUCAUUUUUUUGAGCAGUUACCCUGUCUAAAAGAUUCGCUUUUUCUUCCUCAUUCUCAGAAAGUUUUUUCCUCGAUUCAUCGAGUUGCAUUCCCAAAGACGAGAGUUGUUUCUUCGCUUCAAAACACUCGGUCGUGAGAUCUUCAACUUGGUUCUCGAGGGAUGAGAUCUUGUCCUCCAUGAAUUCCUGUUCUUCUUUCGUCACUGUUUCCGUCUACGACAAAAACAACAUAAUGAAUAUUGAUAAAAAUAACGUUGCUUGUGGAUGGCAAUUUUGAUGAUAAUAUAAGUAAGUGUGUAGGUGUUGCAGUGG